GGGAUGUUCUCGGUCGGACAGCUUGCAUAUAUAAACUUGGUCUUCCUUGUGACAGCGUUUGUAAAGUGCAAACUUUGCGGGGUUGUCAGCAACAAAAAACUUUUUGAGCAAGGCCUCAAUAACUUCACGGACAGUAUUGGUGCUGCUGAUGUGAAGUGUAUUCACACAGUCGUUCGGCAGGUAAAAAGCAGUUUCGUUAUUGCUGUGAGCACACGGUCCCUGGCCGGGAGAAGACUGCACAGUGAUCGGUCUGCAUAGUUCCAUCUGAACUUUGAUGAAGCCAGUGUAAAUCCCAUUUGAGUUCAAGGUCAUCUUCAAUUUAUCAGUGACAGAUGAGUUGUAGCUUUGUAUCUUCUCUUUAACUUCUUCUUUACUGAGAUAAACAUGAGGUUCGGUCUCCUUCUGAACAUCUUGCGGGGCGGCGCGGGUCUUGCCCGGCGGCCUCCUGAAGAAGGAGGUGCGGGCGGUGAAGAAGUACUCCUCGGAGUCCUCCUCCUCCAGACUGCUGUAGCCGCUGCUCAUGCUGCUGGUCCAGGUCAUCGGCGGCUCCUAGCGCUGCUGCUGGUACGGGAGGGGCCCGGCGGCGGAGAGCGCACUCCCGGCCGCCGCAUGGGGCCCCGCCGCGGCCGCUCCUCUCCCAGCGCCGCCGGGCCCGGGGCGCGGGAGGAGGAGGAGAAGGAGGAGGAGCCGCUCCCAGGCUCCCGCCCUCCCUUCCUGCCGCACAAGUUUCCGCGGGGCAGCGCCGCGCCGGGCUCGGCCGAUACCUCCUGCUUCCCCGCCCGGCCCCGAGGAGCUCCGCUGACGGCCGCCGGGACGGGCUGGGAGCAGCGCGGCCGGAGAUGAAAGGCCGGGCGUGGGCCGCAGGUCGCCGGGCCGCCCUCGGAGCUCCGGCUGGGCGCCGUCCGCCCCUGGGCCUCUCAGCGAAGAGGUGACCGAGGGGGCGUCUCGCCGGGGGACUUUGCCCUAAUAGCGCAUUAAAAAGUAACCACCGGCGGAACAGCUGCGAGCGUUUCUCGGUUUGUUCUAGGAGAACUUGAAUUUAAACUUCGCAGCUGGCCGCUACUGCAGCUCCGCCUCGCCCCGCCGUGGGCCCGCAGAGAUAAGCGCGAGGAAUCCAUCGCCCCGGGCGGGCGGGGAUGGGACGGAGCGGGGAGGGCGCGGACCGCCACAGCCGCGGCUGGAAAACGUGCUCAGAAAACAGCCGUUCUGGGAUGAUGCAGGGCAUAAAUCACGCUCAGCCACCGACGGGGGAAGUGGCAGACAAUGCCUGAAGGCCGGCUCGCUCCGUAAUUACCUGCUUCGGGUUUUCUCAUCUCUUCCAUUAAUUUAUCUAGAGCUGGUCGCUGUCAGUGACAGGAUAUUGGCUUUAAGGCACGGCUUCCUUGGCCCGCACAGCUGCCCAAAAAAUAGACCUGCCUUUCCUGGAGGGCCUCGGCCCCGCGAUGCUGACCUUAUGCCACUGAUCCUGAGGGGAAAGUGAGCCCGGAGCAGGGCCUGCAGCCAGGGCAGGGGGUGGGAGUGAGGGCAGGAGGCAGCUCCGGUAGCAGCAUGGCCUUGAAUUAGUUUAAGUGGAUGUGAAGCUGUUUGUGUACCAAGCCAUGCUCUGAUCAGCACAUUGUAGUCUUCAUGCUCAGCCAUGGAUGUGCUUGGGUUCCCGUUGAUGAUAUCUCCUUUCUCUCCUCUGUGUCCCCGUCUCGCUUGUCCUUCACAAUCUCGUCAGAAGCUUCUCAGAAGGAGUGGUGAUGCAGUGGCACAGACUGCCCAGGGAGGCGGUGGAGUCACUGUCCCUGGAGGUCUUCAAGGAAUGUGGAGAUGUGGCACUGAGGGACGUGGUUAGUGGGCAUGGAGGGGAUGGGUUGGUGGUUGGACAGGAUGAUCUUGGUGGUCUUCUCCAGCCUUAAUGAGGCUAUGAUUUCUCACCAUCUGUGUGCAUGCAGCUCAUCCUGUGCCCAUGCUCCAAUGGGGAUGGAAUCAGCUUGGUGCUCUUCCUGCACCACCCUGUAUAUCAAUGAAGUCACCCCCUUGUCGGCCAAAAAACUCAGGUUGAGCACUGACAGCAGUCACUCAGUCUAGAGGUGCUAUCUCCUCACUUUGCUGUCAGCUUGGCUUCUCCCAGGUCUUCCUAAAAAUUUGGCAUCUGCCGUAUUAGAAGGCAGCAUAGCUUUUGAAAACAACCGAUUGAGUAUAACAGCGUAGAUGUGAAUGUGUCAGUUCUUUAGCCUGCUUGUUGGAACUGGAAAGCUCCCCAGUAUUCAAGAAAGUUUUAAGUGAAAUGCCAAGUUACUUGGAUGCAACUAAAAGGUAUUAAAAUGCUUGCUUUAGACAAAUGAUCUUUGUGUUUUACGGCUUGCUAAGACCAGAGCCAUGCCAAAAAGAAGGCCUACUAGAGAUGUGCUGGACUGUCCAAACCCAGCUUCCAGAACUUUGGGCUGUAAUGCCCCUAGCUAUGAUCAUGAUCAAGGUAAAGGUUUUUAGAGACUUGAGUGCACCGCUAAAUGGGAUUUUCGUUCUCCAGCUACAAAGGUGUUCUAAAUGUUACCCACUGGCACACUUGACCGGCUCUCAGCAACAAAAGGCAUUAUGUACACAGCCUGUUUGCUUAGCGCCGCAGCCUCAGAACCGAUCACGUGUGGGUGGACCAUCAAGCUCACAAAGAAGACCAUGAAGGCAACAAGCUGCCACAGGGAAGCUUUCGUCCAUCUGUGCCGGAUCUGUUGCAAGUCCUGGCUCCAGUUUAUGACAGCAAGGCAUGAUGUUCACCUGUCCGUGAAGCAUCGUUUCUAUUGAUGACAAUGAAAGAUUUCCAAUGUAGUUUUCUCCUGCUGCGACAAAAACUAAUGGAGAAAGUACAUCUAAGUUCUUUGUAAUAUAUAUUCCAGUAAGAACUCAUUCUUAAGCAGAGCUCAGUUUUUAAGCCUACUCAUUUUGACAGUGUUGGUUUUGUUUUUUUUUCAGAUGUGGCACUGAACCAAAGAAUUCACCUGAAGGUACCUUUUAGCAGAUGAGAUACCUCUUAACUCUGAUUUGCAUGGUGCUUGCAGUAAUACAUGCAAAUCUUAUUAUGUAUUUUCCAAGACUGAUGUUUAAAAAUUAAUUGGUUUCCCUAUCUUAAUAUACAGGUAUGUUUUUAAAAAUGAAUUUUAAAGCAAUCCAGGUGAUCUCAGCUUGUAGAUCAGUCAUUUCGGUAUAGUACGUUCUAGUCAGAAAUAAAAGACUCAACAUAUGUAACCUUACAGAUUGCAUUACACUAUUUGUGCUUUAUGAAGUUCAGGUAAAAUCUGCUAAUUUAUCAGGCCUACGUUUUAUUUACAGUAGCACCAACAAGCACAGAUUUUCCUUUUAUAGCACAGCUAUCGAUGUGCUGUCACUUGAGAUACUGCUGUCUGGUCAACUCUAAACACCACCUACAUUGUGAUAAUCCAUGUCAUAUAUCCACUAAGACUUCCAGAACAUUUAAAAGGAGAAGUAAGUCCUCUUCAGACAUCUCCUCUCCAUGAUUACUGUCCUGUAUUGCAGCAUGGACCAGGUGGAUGCUAAGCAUCAAGGCUUUCUAUCUGGGAAUUGGAAUGGGCUCCGUGUUCCACUGAUGGGACUCCAAAGGGCAAAGUAACACACUGAUGCAUGGAUUACACUUCCCACAUGGAGUUUACUGUUCCCAGGCAAACUCUGCCCGAAUUUUUAAGGUCUCUCCCCAGACAAGUACUGUUCCACCUUCUGAAAUGAAUUUAUCUAUCUUACUUAGGUAUGAUUCAUCCAACACCCUUUGUUCGUUAGGUGCUACACUGAAACCUCCAGACUAUCACCAGCCUUGGAUUAUCUUCAGUCAUCUCUGAUAAUCCUCUAAAGUAGUCAAUGAGCAAAAUAACACUGCAUGAUGUAAACAGGGCAAUAUCUCAAGAUAAAUUUAGCGAUAAAGUUUCUGAAAGCAUACUUGUUCUUAAGGAGCAUUAGUGAAGCAUUAGGUAAAAGCAAUGAAGUUAAAAGCCAAGAAAUAUGACACAGGAGAGAGAUUUAAAACAUCGACAAGCACUAUGAGGCUUUCAAUCACUCAUUCCAAGAAUUAGUUCAAUGAGAAAUGAAACUGGAAGCUGGAAGUCCAAUGAGAAAUGAAGCUACCACGUGAUCACACAGGCAACUGGCAAGAAAAUGAAGAUGCUUUUUUCUUUAUUUUAAUGAACAGUAAGUAGCAAGCACUGCCAUAGAUGCACCUAUGAAGAAAACAAGAAUAACAUUUUAUAAAAUUCAUUUAACAAAGCUUGAUGACACAGAUAGAAUUUCACAGUGUUUUUAAAUUACAGCCCAUUCAAGCCACUAGAAUGUGGUGGCUCAAGUACGUCAAGCAAAAAUGGUAAUGGGCACUCUGGGUUCCAGAACAACUUUAAUGAAUGAGAUAUUAAUACAGAGGAAUCACAGAGAAGGUUAACUUGUGUGAUAUGCAGAUAUUUGUUGCUUAAGGGGAGCAACAAUAUUUAAAAUCACUAUUACAUUCAACGAUAAAAUUCAGCUUUAAAUUACUUUGUGGUUUUGGAGAGUCAGUUUAGAGAAAUGAAACAUCGGGUAUAGCUUCCAGAAAAGUGGAAAUUAAAGCUAGGAUGCCUGAAUGGCAAAACAGGUGUGGAUAAUUUUAUUAAUUUGAUAAGGAUUGGACUCUCAGCCACCGUUGCUGAAAUAAUAAUAGAUACUGAUUUUCGUAAAGGCGGACUUCAUCUGAAAGCCUUGCAGUUUCGUUUGUCUAUUUGCAUUAAAAUGUCUCUUUAUUGGAGAGAUCACAAUUCCAGAUGAAAAUAUGGUUGAAGGGCACUACAGAGGGCAGUUCAGUAAAUCCAUCCCCUGCUCUGAGGAAGAACUGAGGUCUGCACAGCAUCACCACAGACCUUCAGCCAACCCAUUCUUAGAGCAAGGAACGGUAGUGUAGCAACUUCCUUGCAGGUCAUCUGUUCCAGAGUUUUUUAGCUACCUAUUAGAGUUAGAAAGGUACUCACUUAACACCUUAACAAAAUGGAGAGAGAGCAGUCCAUUGCUGUUUUUAUAGCAACCUUUUGGGUAUUUGAGGUCUCUCAUCAUUCCCCCCUUCUCCUCUCCCCCAGACUAAACAACAGGACAACAGAUAAAACAUGCUACAGCGUUUACAUUAACUCCAUCAGCGAUUGCAUGGUGUUUACAUGUUUCUAAAACAUCCCCUCGGCCCUCUGACACAUAAACUUGGAGAGCUCAACAAAAUGGGAAAUUCAGCAAACAUUCACUCCACCGCUAUGGCUGCCAGUGCCCAAGACGCACUGUUCUGUACACAAGCCUUGGACUUUUCUCCACAUUUUGGUUAGGCUGUUUCAAAAAGCACUGUAUCAAAGAAUCAGGAAAGCUAAAAGCAAGAUAAGGAUUGGGCUUGGGGCGUCCUGUAACAUUUCUGUCUGCUUUUCUAUUAAAAUACAAACAGUAGCGUGGAGACCUCGAGAGCAACUCACAUGGUUUUCCUUGGCCAGAAGGAUAAUGGGGAAUUAAGAAUAUGCCACGAUUUCAAAUAUUUUCAGAACCUAUUAGGCUGUAAAGUACUAAUGUGUGACCUCGGUGUCAGCCAGAACGCUGAUAGCUUGGCAGGUCUUGCAGCCAGGCUGGGCACAGCCGCAGUGCUAAGGCAGGAGUCUGCAGAUUGUCUCCUUUCCUGCUUUCACCAGUGUUUUGCAAGAAGAAUUCCAGUAAUGACCCUAGCAGUAUUUAUAAUUACAACCACCAUGAAGUUGCGAGAUGCCCCUUGCCUCUGGCUGCAGAAGGAACCCUUUCGGUUGCUCUGAAGCCCUGA
rnacentral:lncRNA from 1 species